rnacentral:tRNA from 2 species
CCGGGUGUAGCGCAGUUGGUAGCGCACGUGAUUUGGGUUCACGGGGCCGAGCGUUCGAAUCGCUCCACUCGGA